GCUCAGGAUGAACGCUGGCGGCGUGCUUAACACAUGCAAGUCGAACGGGAUCCAUCAGGCUUUGCUUGGUGGUGAGAGUGGCGAACGGGUGAGUAAUGCGUGACCGACCUGCCCCAUACCCGGAAUAGCUCCUGGAAACGGGUGGUAAUGCCGGAUGCUCCGACUCCUCGCAUGGGGUGUCGGGAAAGAUUUCAUCGGUAUGGGAUGGGGUCGCGUCCUAUCAGGUAGUCGGCGGGGUAACGGCCCACCGAGCCUACGACGGGUAGCCGGCCUGAGAGGGCGACCGGCCACAUUGGGACUGAGAUACGGCCCAGACUCCUACGGGAGGCAGCAGUA
rnacentral:rRNA from 1 species